UGAAUUAAGAAUAAAGAUAGAUUUAUCAGUCUCUGCCUCCUCAUUUCCAAACACAUACACAGAGAGUGAAUAUUUCCCCUUCAGUACAUGCAAACUUCUGGGAACUGGAUUUUUCCAUGUCUCUGUACAGCAUCUAGCCCUGUGGUGCUUCUGUCUUAGAUCUGAACUUCAAAGUGUGACUGCUUCAAGUAAUGAAAUUACUGUAUGUGUUUCUCAGUGCAGUUAACUGCCACCUCUUUAACACUGAUGUAUGACAUCAUAAUGUAAAACUGUAGUGGAGAAUAAGCAAUGGAAUCUGUAGAAGAUCACCAUCCAGCUUACUUUAACAUUUAGCUGAUGAGUCUUUAAGUAUGUUUCCCAUCAGGGGAUACUGUGGAAAGUUGAAGCAUACUGAAAGUGCCUUUAAAAGGAGACACUGAUUUUAAUUGGAGGGAAUGGUACACAAGCCUGCUAAAUAGAGCUGAUAAAGCUGCUGUGCACCAGAAUGAAGAAAGGCAUUAUGGAUCAGUACUGGAGAACCCAAAGCAGGAUCUGAUUUGUUUGAAACCUAUAUAUAUAGGAGAAUAUGACUGUCAGAUUGAAGCAGAAGGGUUGGACACUGGCUGUAACAUUCAUUGAUUG
rnacentral:lncRNA from 1 species